rnacentral:rRNA from 1 species
ACGAACGCUGGCGGCAUGCCUAACACAUGCAAGUCGAACGCCCCGCAAGGGGAGUGGCGCACGGGUGAGUAACGCGUGGGGAUCUGCCCAUCGGUGGGGAAUAACCUCGGGAAACUGAGGCUAAUACCGCAUACGCCCUGUAAAGGGGAAAGAUUUAUCGCCAUUGGAUGGGCCCGCGUCGGAUUAGCUAGUUGGUGAGGUAACGGCUCACCAAGGCGACGAUCCGUAGCUGGUCUGAGAGGAUGAUCAGCCACACUGGGACUGAGACACGGCCCAGACUCCUACGGGAGGCAGCAGUGGGGAAUAUUGGACAAUGGGCGCAAGCCUGAUCCAGCCAUGCCGCGUGAGUGACGAAGGCCUUAGGGUUGUAAAGCUCUUUUGGCGGGGAAGAUAAUGACGGUACCCGCAGAAUAAGCUCCGGCUAACUUCGU